rnacentral:lncRNA from 1 species
CAUGAAAAGAAUCUGCACAGUAGGGUGCAGGAUCCCCCUGAUCUAGGCCACUACCACCAGGAGGUGGCACAGCCCCUGUUGCACGAGGUCAUGUGGUACAGAGGCCUGCAGAUGGCCACAUAGCUAUCAUAGACCACGACAAUGAGGAGGAUGAUCUCUGAUCCUCCAAGAAAGUGUUCUACAAAGAGCUGAAUCAGGCAGUCCCUGAAGAAAAUGGUUCUUCUCUGGCACAGCCAGUGGAUGUUCAUCUUGGGAGUGUUGACAGGGGGAUAGGUGGCAUCUAUAAAGGACAAAGCCUGGCAAAUGAAUGGAAUACCUCCGCACUUGGGAUCUGAACCUGAGAACCCAGGCCUCCAAAGUAGAAUGCGUGGAAUAUUAACCACUUGGCCAUGGGGCUGGCCCCCUCCAACUUU